rnacentral:rRNA from 1 species
ACGGGAGGCAGCAGUGAGGAAUAUUGGUCAAUGGGCGUAAGCCUGAACCAGCCAAGUAGCGUGAGGGAUGACUGCCCUACGGGUUGUAAACCUCUUUUGUUUGGGAAUAGAUGAGACUACGUGUAGUCUUUUGCAUGUACCUUUCGAAUAAGCAUCGGCUAAUUCCGUGCCAGCAGCCGCGGUAAUACGGAAGAUGCGAGCGUUAUCCGGAUUUAUUGGGUUUAAAGGGAGCGUAGGCGGUCCUUUAAGUCAGCGGUCAAAUGUCAGCGCCCAACGCUGGCCUGCCGUUGAUACUGGAGGACUUGAAUACACACAAGGAAGGUGGAAUUCGUCGUGUAGCGGUGAAAUGCUUAGAUAUGACGAAGAACUCCGAUUGCGAAGGCAGCCUUCUGGAGUGCGAUUGACGCUGAGGCUCGAAAGCGCGGGUAUCAAACAGGAUUAGAUACCCUGGUA